rnacentral:rRNA from 1 species
UACGUAGGGGGCAAGCGUUAAUCGGAAUUACUGGGCGUAAAGCGUGCGCAGGCGGUUGUGCAAGACCGAUGUGAAAUCCCCGGGCUUAACCUGGGAAUGGCAUCGGUGACUGCACGGCUAGAGUGUGUCAGAGGGGGGUAGAAUUCCACGUGUAGCAGUGAAAUGCGUAGAGAUGUGGAGGAAUACCGAUGGCGAAGGCAGCCCCCUGGGAUAACACUGACGCUCAUGCACGAAAGCGUGGGGAGCAAACAGG